rnacentral:tRNA from 1 species
GGGCCCGUAGCUCAGCUUGGUAGAGCAGCAGGCUCAUAACCUGUAUGUCCAAUGAUUUCCAUUGGACAGGGGAACGGUCGGGCGUUCAAAUCGCCCCGGGCCCACCA